ACUAUCUCAAAUAUGAAUUCAAUCGUUGCCUUCUGUAAAACAAACUGAUGUGUUUUUUGAUAAGUAACUAACUCUUUGUUAACUGUUAGUUUAAAUUUAAAUGAAGCACCCAUUGGCAAAUGUCACAAAUCUUGUCUAUAUAAAGGGUAUUCUACAUGAUUCUAAAUAACUUCUAUGCAAUAAUUUAUACAAUAUUUCUCUGUAAAUCUUCGUCAAUUACAUUCUUCCAAAUUCUUCAUUCUUUUGGGUUGAGUUCUUGAGGUUGGGAAAUCAAAGUGUGCAACUUUGAUUUCUAGAGUAGG
rnacentral:lncRNA from 1 species